rnacentral:rRNA from 1 species
UCCUACGGGGCGCAGCAGUAGGGAAUCUUCCACAAUGGGCGAAAGCCUGAUGGAGCAACGCCGCGUGGGUGAAGAAGGUCUUCUGAUCGUAAAACCCGGUUGUUAGAGAAGAAAGUGCGUGAGAGUAACUGUUCACGUUUCGACGGUAUAUAACCAGAAAACCACGGCUAACUACGUGCCAGCAGCAGCGGUAAUACGUAGGUGGAAAGCGUUAUCCGGAUUUAUUGGGCGUAAAGGGAACGCAGGCGGUCUUUUAAGUCUGAUGUGAAAGCCUUCGGCUUAACCGCGGUAGUGCAUUGGAAACA